GAUGAACGCUGGCGGCGUGCUUAACACAUGCAAGUCGAACGAAGCACUUCAAUCGAUUUCUUCGGAAUGAAGUUUUAGUGACUGAGUGGCGGACGGGUGAGUAACGCGUGGGUAACCUGCCUCACACGGGGGGAUAACAGUUGGAAACGGCUGCUAAUACCGCAUAAGCGCACAGUACCGCAUGGUACAGUGUGAAAAACUCCGGUGGUGUGAGAUGGACCCGCGUCUGAUUAGCUAGUUGGCAGGGCAACGGCCUACCAAGGCGACGAUCAGUAGCCGACCUGAGAGGGUGACCGGCCACAUUGGGACUGAGACACGGCCCAAACUCCUACGGGAGGCAGCAGUGGGGAAUAUUGCACAAUGGGGGAAACCCUGAUGCAGCGACGCCGCGUGAGCGAAGAAUUAUUUCGGUAUGUAAAGCUCUAUCAGCAGGGAAGAAGAAAUGACGGUACCUGACUAAGAAGCACCGGCUAAAUACGUGCCAGCAGCCGCGGUAAUACGUAUGGUGCAAGCGUUAUCCGGAUUUACUGGGUGUAAAGGGAGCGCAGGCGGAAGGCUAAGUCUGAUGUGAAAGCCCGGGGCUCACCCCCGGUACUGCAUUGGAAACUGGUCAUCUAGAGUGUCGGAGGGGUAAGUGGAAUUCCUUAGUGUAGCGGGGAAAAGGCGUAGAUAUUAGGAGGAACCCCCGUGGGGAAGGCGGCUUACUGGACGAUAACCUGACGGUGAGGCUUCGAAAGGCGGGGGAGCAAACAGGAUUAGAUACCCUGGUAGUCCACCCCGUAGACGAUGAAUACUAGGUGUCGGGAAGCACAGCUUUUCGGUGCCGCCGCAAACGCAUUAAGUAUUCCACCUGGGGAGUACGUUCGCAAGAAUGAAACUCAAAGGAAUUGACGGGGACCCGCACAAGCGGUGGAGCAUGUGGUUUAAUUCGAAGCAACGCGAAGAACCUUACCAAGUCUUGACAUCCCGGUGACCGGACAGUAAUGUGUCCCUUUCUUCGGAACACCGGUGACAGGUGGUGCAUGGUUGUCGUCAGCUCGUGUCGUGAGAUGUUGGGUUAAGUCCCGCAACGAGCGCAACCCUUAUCCCCAGUAGCCAGCAUUAUGGAUGGGCACUCUGAGGAGACUGCCAGGGAUAACCUGGAGGAAGGUGGGGAUGACGUCAAAUCAUCAUGCCCCUUAUGACUUGGGCUACACACGUGCUACAAUGGCGUAAACAAAGGGAAGCGAGACCGUGAGGUGGAGCAAAUCCCAAAAAUAACGUCUCAGUUCGGACUGUAGUCUGCAACCCGACUACACGAAGCUGGAAUCGCUAGUAAUCGCAGAUCAGAAUGCUGCGGUGAAUACGUUCCCGGGUCUUGCACACACCUCCCGUC
rnacentral:rRNA from 1 species